AUGAUAUAAAUCGAGCAUAUGCUUCUGAAAGACCGAAGGGUUUGAAAAAUUUUAGCUCAAGCCCAAAACCCUAUUUGGGUGAGUUACUCUAACUGGAUUCGGAUCCUAUAUUUGGAUCCGGAUCGGGUCGGAUCGAGUCAUGUAUUUUAAGAUCCAAAUUAACCCAAAAAUCUUCACGGAUUAAAUCGGGUCGGAUUGGAUCCAAAUUUAAAAAAUCCAGACCCAAUCCGAAAAAGGGA
rnacentral:lncRNA from 1 species